GGCUCUGAGGCCUCCCGGCAGCGGAAGUGGAGCGGGAUUUCGCGGCGCGGUGGCCGCUGCGUGAGGCUCGCUGUGGGGUGGCUUCCCCUGUCCUCCUCUCCACCACUUCUCGUUCGUUCAUUUCCACACACGCGUUGCUUGGCGCUCUGCCCGGCUCUGGGGAUGAGCCGACUGGGCUCAAUACCUAACUUCAAGGAGCUCGUUGUAUCCCGGGAAAAACCAAACCGGCCAGAGAAUACAAUACAGAGUGGUGUUCGUGGAAAAACAGGUGUUACUCCCGUUCGCAGGAGCGACUCAGAGUUACCUUGGAACCAAAAAUGUCGCCCCAAAUCUGCCUACGCUUCACCCUUCCACCCCGCUGCAGCACUUUCUGGGAAUUUUAAGAAACUUCCCCCGCCCCGUGUGAAAUUUUGGUUUUCAAAAAUAGAACAGCGCAAAUCCUCCCUCUCCUUGCACGUGGUGCUUCGGGGCUCAAGUUAAACAGCACUGAAAGAGCACCUGCCAGUCUCCAGCUCAGCUGGAGGGUGGGGAGGUGGCUGGAGACAUGACCUUCCAGGCACUGAGGCUCUGUAGUGGGAGUCUUCGUGUUUCCACCUCAUGCUUCCAAAAAGACGGUCAAGGCCAGAGUCAGGGAAGAGUCAUGGAGAAGGGUGAAAACCCGAGACAGCCUGAGGAGGAGAGGCAGCUGACAUCCGCCCGGAUGAUGUGUCUACCGAGAAGCACUUCCUGCGCUGAGCACUCUGAUUUGGGAGCACUGAGGAGGGAGACAAGCAUCCAGGGGAGAGAGACAGAGCAUGAACGGGGGAGGAGCAGAGAGAGAGGGAGAC